rnacentral:lncRNA from 1 species
UAUGGGGCAAUAAAUUGGAUGCUAUGGGGCACUGCGGGGCUCUAUGUAUGCGGCAUUAUAGGGCUCUAUGGGUUCUGCUAUGGGUGCUAUGGGUUGCUCUAUGGGUCACACUAUGGGUCCAGCUAUAGUUCGCUCUGGGUCCCGCUGUGGGUCCCACUAUAGGGCUCUAUGGGUCCAGCUCUGCGCCCCGCUACGGAUCCCGCCGUGGGUCACACUACAAGCCACACUACGGGUCGCACCGUAGGUCACACUACGCGUCCCACUACGGGUCCAGCUGGGUCACACUACGGCUCCCGCUGUGGGUCAAACUACGUGUCCUACUACGGGUCGCAACGUGGGUCACACUACAGAUCACACUACGCGUCCUGCUACGGGUCCCACUACAGAUCCCGCCGUGGGUCCCACUACGAGCCACACUACAGGUCCCACUACAGGUCCCGCCGCGGGUCGCACUACGGGUCCCGCUAUGGGCCAUACUACGGGUCCCGCCGCGGGCCACACUACGUAUCACACUACCCAUCCUGCUAUGGGUCCCACUACGGAUCCCGCCGUGGGUCAAACUACGGAUCCCGCCGUGGGUCAAACUACGGAUCCCGCCGCGGCUCAAACCACGCGCCCCUCCGCGGCCGCCCGGCGCUCACCCCGUGCGUCGCGCCGCUCCCCGCGCUCCACGUCGGCCCUCCUCCGGAUGAGGAACCUCCUGGCGCAGCCGUCCCUCGCCCUCCAGCCCUCGUGCAGCAGCACGGGCCGCUCGUCCGCCCCCAGCACCCGCACGAACUGCGGCUGCCACGCCCCCCCCGCGCCCCCCGCCCGCCCCACGGCGUCGCACAGCACGAAGUCGUCGCCGCCCCCGGCGCUCAGCCCGUAGCGCUCCAGCGCUUCCCGCAGCAGCUGCCGCGCCGUGCAGCCCCUGGUGGCCAGCACGCUCUUGUAGUUGGCGCCGUAGCUGAUGUCGGCCCCGAAGAUCUUCAGCACCACGGGGGGGGGCUGCUGGGGGGGCGGGGCGCCGCGGCCGGGACCGCCGCCCCCACCGCCGCCCCCUCCCCGGCGCCGCCGGCCUCCGUGGUCGUCGUCGCCCCGCUCCUCGUCCUCGUCCUCCUCUUCGUCCCCGGCGGGGGGGGAGGAGAGGUCGCAGAGUUUUUUCUCGCUCACCCAGCGGCGGUUGGGGCUCUGCGGGGGGGGGGGGG